AGCUGCGUCUAAUCUUAGAAAUUAAAUGGCCAGCCUUAAGGUUUUCUAAGCUUAUUAAUGUUCUCUGGGGUUAUUUUCAACAGUAGCACUUUACUUGAAGUGUUUAUUUGCUUCCAUGUAAUGUAUUUGGUUCUGAGAAAUCUUUGGCCUUCAUGAUACAGAAGAGUUAAAUGAAUGUCUAAGUGGCCUUCUGUGGAUACUUUGCUAUUGAAAUACCUUUUUCUUCUGGAGCAAGUAGCACUAGUGUUUUUCAUAUCUGGUACAGAAGAUUCAGGGUUGUUGAAAUUACAGCUGACUCAGUUUUUACAAGUACAAACAACCGUGUGCAAGAGAGAAAGCCAGCAGGUCAAAGACAAGUAGGGACUCUGCCAGCCUGCUCCUCCCAGACACUUCAUAAAUCAUGCAUACUCCUAGUAGAAUUAUUUAUUAAAUGUUUAUGACAACCCCAUAUGAAAAGAAAGGUGGGUAAAGCUACCUCCUGUUAAAUUUUACUGCAGAACUGCUGGUCUGGAUCUGUGUGUCACGAUCUGUUGUCUCAUUUGUUAGCUGUCACUCAGCUGCGACUGAAACAGCUUUGAAUGUAUUUUUUUAAUGUCAUCAGAAUGAGCAAAAAAGGCGUGUUCACUUAGCUCUGAUUUCUUCGUAUUUGACAUAUUAGAAAAACAUCAGGAUGCACAGAACUUCCCUUUUUCAGUUCUAAGGAAAAAAAAUGCUUAUUGCAUUAUUGUAUUUGUUUACCAAACAGAAAAGAAUGGCCUUAAUUUUCUAGACCAGAGGUUUUUGCAUGUUCGCAGCCCUUCUAGUGAUGACAAUCAUUGUAUGAAUUAUUAUUGCAGUUAAACUUACAGGAGUUUUAGCUGUGUUUCUGUAAAUGAAUACCAUGUCUUUUUUGUUUAGCCAGUUACAUGUUUCUGUAUAACCUGCUUGUGCAGGUACACUUUAGCUUUUCUUCUCUUCUUUAUGUGUAAAUAUAUAGACUUCUAUUCCUCCCCCCAAAGAAGGCUUCAGGGUGGUUUUCUAUAGCUACUAAAUUAGAAAUUAAUUUACCAGGAGGAAAAACAAAACAAUACAAACCAAAACCCCAAAACUCCACCUAAAACAUUGCUUUAUAUAGUAGGGCACUUUUUUAAUAUGUUAAGAUUUCAUGCCACUAUCAAUAAAACAAAGUAAAACUUUGUGCACAGAUGAUGGGGAUUCAUCAGUCUGUGGGUGGGUGGUGAUUGUGGAAGAAGCAUUUUGAUGGUUCAGCUCAGGGUACCAGUAGCUUCUCCAUAUGGUUUAAUAUACAGUAUUUGCAUUUUUCCUGGCACAUCAUCUGUGGUAAUAAUAAUCUGUUGUAAUAAAGAUCUUCAUGUCCAUCUUUGGUAACUGUUCCCCACGUACAAAAGCUGUGCAUGCACACAGUAAUGCAGACAUUCAUGUGCAUGAAGUCUUGCUGCAAACUGUUAAGGAUAAUUGUUCUAUUUUUAGUUCCAAAACACAGUAUGUUUAUUCUCUGCUGUAUCCCUGAGGCUCUUCAUUCUGUGGUCUGAGCAAGCUGGGUCAGAUUGAGGUAGCAGCAUCCACUGGGAGCCAGGAGCUGAGGGAUCGUAGUGAUUUCAGUUUGAUUUGUCAUUGUUCAUAGCAGGUGUGACUGGGCGCUGGCUGGAGGGCUCUGCUGUGCAGAAUGGCAGUUGAAGAGCAACAUCCAGGUUUGGUGCUGCAAGUUUCUAGAGGUAGUUCUCACUACAGAAUGGUGAUAACCAGUGGGUGCUUUCUCUGUUAUUCUCCCUGUGUAGCACGUUCUUUCCCUAGUUGUGUUUCAGCUUGAGAGUUAAGUCUCUUUGUUCUGCCAGGGGAAAGUUGAUUCCGAAAAGGAGAGCGAGGUGCAAGGGCUGACUCUGGUUUGGGAUUCUCUACAACCAGAGCCACACAGGUGAGGUGCAGGAAAGAAGGCCGUUGUGAAGUCCCUAAUAUAGGGGACUGUUGGGGAGAAAAAAAGGCAACAUGCCUCAGCCUUCCUGGAAGCUGGGCAGUUAUAUCAAGGAAGUUUCAUUAAAUGCCAGAACUGGUUUUAUGUCUUCCCUCAUACAUACAGUACUGGUCACUGUCGGAAACAUGGCACUGAGUGUAUGGGAUUUUCUUUUAUCUGAUACAGCCUUCUUUUGUUUCCCUCCCAGCUCCUGAAGUGUAACCUCAGCAUUAGUGAUUCCCACGACUUGAAUUAAAAUGAAACAUUCAUUACAGAAGUUAAUGUCUCUGUUAGAGAUAACUGGUUAUAUAUCAUCUAAGGGGAGAGGGAAAUCCAUUAGGUGGUCUGAACCUAUCCUAGACCUUUGUUCUGCCCGGUCUGAGCUUUCUACUAAUUUUGACCUGAAGAAGCACCAAAUACCACAGAGGGUCAGGGCAGCUCCUCAAGGCUGAUUGUGGCAACUUGACUGAAGCCUCAGAUUCACUGUUUCCUACCAUGUACUAGAAAAGCCUGAAACUGGAGGCAACAACAGACUAAAAUCACUUUCCUAGAACUUUUAUUGCUCUGCUUUCUUUCCUGUCCCUGGCUGCUGAUAGAUCUGGGUUACUCUCCUCCUGCUCAUAGUUGGUGUCUUUUCAGUUGGUAAAUGUGCUUCCAGCUCUGAGACAUCUGCUGUGUGGAACAUGAGUCUUCUGAGAAAAUUAGUGCCAUUUGAAUCAGAAUGGGGAAAAGGGAAAGAACUUGGAGAAAGUGACUGUGCGUCCAUGUGAGUUGAGACUGUGUCUCAGAGUGGUGAGAGUUGGAGUUCAAUCAGGAAGAGCAAGCGACUUCAUGGGAUGGUUUGACAGUUCAGAGCAGUCAGGAGGCACUGUGCUGUGGGGAAUCCUUGCUGCAGCGGUGCUGGUGUGAGCCGAGGGCGGGCAGGUCAUCCCAUACAUCUCCUUUAGAAGAGAUAACGGAGACCUUGCUGUUCUGCACUGGGGAGAAGUCUGAGCUGAUGUGCUGCCUGCCUGGCUUGCUUCCUUAGUAAUUUUAACAAGCGUUUCAUCACUUUUCCUGCGUUCCUGAAUAAUGUCAUUAUAAAGCUAUUGUUCUUCAUCUGCGUGAGGAAACCAUUUCUGGUGCGGUGAAGAGACACUUGUGUUGGAAAGCUGCUGUGGAAUAAAUAAAAAUCCCUAUGGGAGUCCCUUCUGAGCCAAGUGAUUGUAUAAUCCUGUGCCUUAGUUUGUAAAUAUAGUCAGAUGUACAAAUGGCAGCUAUUUUAUGGUCACAGUAUAAGUUAAAGUUGGGAAAAUCAAAGAGGGAAACCAAAUUGGUGUCUUCCCAUCCUGUGCUCCUUGUUUUUCUUCCCUUUUGGUCCCUGGUAAUUUUCUGAGUUACCAGCGCCCACCACUGAAUGGCCAUUGAGCCACAGGGUAGAGGAACUCAGACGAAAAAUCAUCGUCUCACUUGCCUGCAGAUUCAGGAACGCGUGUUUGUGUUGGUUAAAAUGAAUUUAUAUUUGUGAGGUUUUUUUCGCAUUAAGUCUAGGAACUUAGUUUUUUAAUGAACACUUAGAUUUUGGAUAAUUUGGUUCAUGAAAAUACAUAAGGAAGUGAUGGCCUGGCCCUUCUUUCAAACCGUGGCUGAAAGGCAAAUUUAUUAAAGUGGAGGUAUAGAAGAGAAUUGCUGUUUCCCCUGACUCCAUUAAGUUUGCUCAUAUCAAUGCCUGUAUUUGAAGCAGGCAGACAUUUUCUAUGUGGAAAAAGAUAGCUUUUCGAGAAGCCAUAUCUUUUAAGCAUAUUAAUUUCCAUUGUUUUUCUUGUCUAGCAUGGCAAAACGGCUUCCACUGAGAGAAGGGGAAGUGGGGAACUGUGAUAUUAGUUGCCCCUAUAUAAUGAGAGUUAAGAUUUCAUUAUUUCUUUUCUGCUUUACCCUUGACAGUUGUUCUUUGCUGGUAGCAGGCUGUUUUCCUUUUUUGCCCCAUUUUUCCCUUGUAAAGUUAAUGCAAUUCUGCUCAGACAUCUCUUACCUAUAUUUUCUAUCAUUUUAAUUGGCAGAAUGCUUCUGGAGGGUACACAAGAGUUUGUUCUCUCAUUCUCUUACUCCUGUGUGCUCACUCUCUGUAUAAUCUUAAUACCACCUCUGAAAACAAAGGUAAGCAAGGGGUUAACUCUGCAAGUGAAACUUUCAUAGUGAUUGGAUUAAGAGCAGAAACACACUAAGCAAUGGAGUCUUAAAGUUGCCUAUAAAAAGCUAGAUAACUCGUUCAACCUCUGCCCAACAUGUUAUUUACAGUUCUUCACUCCAUCCUCUUGGAAAAACAGAACUCAUCAGUGAAAAAUGUCUGUCGUUCACAGAGUUUUCUGUCUCAAUAUAUACACGCUGUUCUUUCUGGCUAACUUUGCAGGCUUCCGAGACCCAGCUAGUAAAGAUGCCAAUAAAUUUAAAUCCCUGGAGAUACAA